GCCUGAGAGGGCACACGGCCACACUGGCACUGAAACACGGGCCAGACUCCUACGGGAGGCAGCAGUGGGGAAUCUUGCACAAUGGGGGAAACCCUGAUGCAGCGACGCCGCGUGAGCGAUGAAGCCCUUCGGGGUGUAAAGCUCUUUCGGUAGGGAAGAUUAUGACGGUACCUGCAGAAGCAGCUGCGGCUAACUACGUGCCAGCAGCCGCGGUAAUACGUAGGCAGCGAGCGUUGUUCGGAGUUACUGGGCGUAAAGGGUGUGUAGGCGGUUGUCUAAGUUUGGUGUGAAAUCUCCCGGCUCAACUGGGAGGGUGCGCCGAAUACUGAAUGACUAGAGUGCGGGAGAGGAAAGUGGAAUUCCUGGCGUAGCGGUGAAAUGCGUAGAUAUCAGGAGGAACACCGGUGGUGUAGACGGCUUUCUGGACCGUAACUGACGCUGAAACACGAAAGCGUGGGUAGCAAACAGGAUUAGAUACCCUGGUAGUCCACGCCCUAAACGAUGCAUAUUUGGUGUGGGCAGUUCAUUCUGUCCGUGCCGGAGCUAACGCGUUAAAUAUGCCGCCUGGGGAGUGCAGUCGCAAGGCUGAAACUCAAAGGAAUUGACGGGGGCCCGCACAAGCGGUGGAGCAUGUGGUUCAAUUCGACCCACGCGAAGAACCUUACCUGGGCUCGAACGGCCGGUCAACGGCGUUGGAAACAGCGCUACCCCGCAAGGGGGUCCGGUCGAGGUGCUGCAUGGCUGUCGUCAGCUCGUGUCGUGAGAUGUUGGGUUAAGUCUCGCAACGAGCGCAACCCUUGUCCUGUGUGGCCAUGCCGAAAGGCGGAACUCGCAGGAGACCGCCAGCGAUAAGCUGGAGGAAGGUGGGGAUGACGUCAAGUCCUCACGGCCUUUAUGUCCAGGGCUACACACGUGCUACAAUGGCCGGUACAAAGCGCCGCAAACCCGCGAGGGGGAGCCAAUCGCAAAAAACCGGUCUCAGUUCGGAUUGCAGGCUGCAACUCGCCUGCAUGAAGCUGGAAUCGCUAGUAAUGGCAGAUCAGCACGCUGCCGUGAAUACGUUCCCGGGCCUUGUACACACCGCCCGUCACAUCACGAAAGUGGAUUGUACUAGAAGUCUGCAGGCUGACCCGCAAGGGGGGCAGCGGCCCAAGGUAUGAUCCAUGAUUGGGGUGAAGUCGGAACAAGGUAGCCGUAGGAGAACCUGCGGCUG
rnacentral:rRNA from 1 species